CAAAACCUGAGGUGUUCGACAAACCUGUGUUUUUGAUCCUACAUAUUGACAUAGGGAUCCCUACAUUGCCGCGUUGAUGUCAGGCCUCCUGUGAGUGGAAGACUGAGGCGUGUGCUGCGGCAACCCACCUAGCUACGGCUGGGAGUCAGAAAACAGGAACGGCAUCUCGGGAUUGGA
rnacentral:other from 1 species